GCAUGGCUGUCGUCAGCUCGUGUCGUGAGAUGUUCGGUUAAGUCCGCUAACGAGCGCAACCUCGUCGUAUGUUAUAUGUGUCAUACGAGACUGCCGGUAAAAGCCGGAGGAAGGUGAGGAUGAUGUCAAGUCAGCAUGACCUUUAUAUCCAGGGCUACACACACGCUACAAUGGUCUGUACAAUGGGUAGCCAAGCCGCGAGGCGGAGCCAAUCCUGAAAAGCAGGCCUCAGUUCAGAUUGCAGUCUGCAACUCGACUGCAUGAAGCCGGAGUUGCUAGUAACCGCAGGUCAGCAAUACUGCGGUGAAUACGUUCCCGGGUCUU
rnacentral:rRNA from 1 species